rnacentral:rRNA from 1 species
UUGACGGUACCCUACUAGAAAGGAGCCGCUAACUUCGUGCCAGAAGCGUCGGUAAUACGGGGGCUCCAAGCGUUAUCCGGUGUUAUUGGGCGUAAAGAGUCGUGUAGGUGGUUGGGUAAGUUAUCUUUCAAAUAUCUUUGCUUAACAAAGAGGAGGGGGAUAAUACUGCUCGACUAGAAUUUUCUCAAGGGAGAUCGGAACUGAGGGAGGAGUAGUGAAAUGCGUUGAUACCCUCGGGAACACCAGUGGCGUAGGCGGAUCUCUGGGAGAAGAUUGACACUGAGACACGAAAGCUAGGGGAGCGAAGCAGAUUAGAGACCUGCGUAGUCCUAGCCGUAAACGCAUGCUUGCUAGCUGCAUGAAUCUACCUUCGGGUGGUAUCGUGUGGCGAAGGUAACCCGUUAAGCAAGCCGCCUGGAAAGUACGGCCGCAAGGCUGAAAUUCAAAGGAAUUGGCGGGGAGGCACACAACCAGUGGAACAUGUGGUUUAAUUCGAGACUAACCGAAGAACCUCACCAGGGUUUGACAUGUAGCUGCACGUCUUAAGAAAUUAAGACUCUCUUGAAGGUGCUACACAGGUGCUGCAUGGCUGUCGUCAGCUCGUUCCGUGAGGAGUGCCCUUAAGUGGGACAACGAGCGCAACCCCUAUUACAUGUUAGAAAUGUCAUGUAAGACUGCCUUGCCAUUUGGCGGGGAGGAAGGAGGGGCAGACGUCAAGUCCGCAUGGUCCUUAUGCCCUGGGCUACACACAUGUUACAAUGAGUACGGCAAUGAGUCUGUCGCGAGCACGUAAGUGUAAGCUAAUCUCUUAAAUGUACUCUCAGUGGGGAUUGAGGUCUGCAACUCGACCUCAUGAACACGGAAUUGGUAGUAAUCGCGGGUCAGCUAUACCGCGGUGAUACGUUCUUGCCUCUUGCACACACCGCCCGUCAAACCAGCAAAGUCGAU